CUGAACCACAGUGGACUUUCUGUCAAGUUGAAUUUCUGGUAGGGAGCUUUGCUUCAUAUAAUCAAUAACUUCUGAUUCAUCAACAUGCAGUAAUUCUUGCUGCAAGAUUUGAUCAGAGUUGCCUUGAACAAAGGCAGUAGUGGGUGAUCUUGUCUGGACUUCUUUCUCCAGUAACUGUAUUUUCCUUGUUUCUUCGAUACCUUUGGUUUCUUCCUGCUGACCAAAUUUUUCGUCAUCCUCAAUCCUUUCUUUUACCUCUGCAUCAGAUGUUUGAACCUUGUCAUGUUCAUUAGUAUAAUUAUUGGUGUUUAUUUCUGCAGUGUCCUCAGCAACAUAUUGUGGUGUCUGUUCCUCUCUGUUAGAUUUUUUCUCUGUAAUGUCUUCUUCCAGCCGCAUCUGUUCUUGAUUACUGUCAUCAACUGUUUCGGUCCCGACCACAACUGCAAUUGUUAUUGUUUGCAGAAGUUCAUCUUCUGGCACAUUUAUUUCUAUAAAAAUUAGAUAUUGAAAACAAUAAUUAACAUGAAGGCUGCUAUCUCAGUAUUGAAAUGCAUGUAUAAGUUCUCUUAAAAAUAAAAAUAGUCCCAGUGUGACAAUAAGAUUCCAUAGGCACAAUCCCACAAAAGGCUCCCAUAUUUGCCCAAAUAAUUACCAUAGACAUGUUAUCAUCCACAUAUAGCAGCGAGUAAAAUUGCCAGUGUCAUCUAUACACACUUGUUUAUAAAUUUUUAUGUACUUUAAAUAAUGUUUCUUGAACAUAAAAUUAUGUUUGUAUUUUUAUUUUCUCUGUAUGAAUAUGCUAUUGGAUUUUGUUUUUUGGUUAAUGUUUUCUAGUCAACAUAGAUUCUGAAAUUUGAAAACCUAGUUACCUGCGAUUUCUGACUUUGGCAUCUUCAAAUCAACAAACUUUUUGACAUCUGUUUCUUCCUCUUCUCUGACUUUGCUUUCAUAAUUGGUGCCUAAAUUCUCUGUUACAUUGCUGAUAUUGUCCUCAGUCUCAGUUUUUUCAGUUUCCUGGUUGGAUUUAUGAAAUAUAAGUAUACAAUUUCUUUAAAAACUUAGCAAAAUGAUGUAUGUUGUAUAUCUAAACUUUUACUCAUUUACACCACUUAGGCCUAACCUGAGCAAUAAUGGACUUUCUGUCAAAUUCAAUUUCUGGUAUGCAACUUUGCAUCACAUAAUCAAUAACUUCUGAUUGAUCAAGUUCCAGUAAUUCUUGCUGCAAGAUUUUAUCAGUGUCAUGUUGAACAAAGCCUGCACUAGGUGAUCUUGUCUGGACUUCUUCCUUGGGUAACUUCAUUUUGCUUGAUUCUGCUAUAGCUUGGUCUUCUACCUGUGGUCCAAAAUUUUCAUCAUUCUCAAUCUCUUGUUUUACUUCUGCAUCAGAUGUUUGAACCUUGUCAUGUUGAUC
rnacentral:lncRNA from 1 species